UACAGAGGGGGCAAGCGUUGUUCGGAAUUACUGGGCGUAAAGGGCGCGUAGGCGGCCUGUUAAGUCGAACGUGAAAUCCCCGGGCUCAACCCGGGAACUGCGUCCGAUACUGGCAGGCUUGAAUCCGGGAGAGGGAUGUGGAAUCCCAGGUGUAGCGGUGAAAUGCGUAGAUAUCUGGAGGAACACCGGUGGCGAAGGCGGCAUCCUGGACCGGUAUUGACGCUGAGGCGCGAAAGCCAGGGGAGCAAACGGG
rnacentral:rRNA from 1 species